AUGAACGCUAGCUACAGGCUUAACACAUGCAAGUCGAGGGGCAGCAUUUUAGUUUGCUUGCAAGCUAAAGAUGGCGACCGGCGCACGGGUGAGUAACACGUAUCCAACCUGCCGAUAACUCGGGGAUAGCCUUUCGAAAGAAAGAUUAAUAUCCGAUAGUAUAUUAAAACCGCAUGGUUUUACUAUUAAAGAAUUUCGGUUAUCGAUGGGGAUGCGUUCCAUUAGUUUGUUGGCGGGGUAACGGCCCACCAAGACUACGAUGGAUAGGGGUUCGGAGAGGAAGGUCCCCCACAUUGGAACUGAGACACGGUCCAAACUCCUACGGGAGGCAGCAGUGAGGAAUAUUGGUCAAUGGACGAGAGUCUGAACCAGCCAAGUAGCGUGAAGGAUGACUGCCCUAUGGGUUGUAAACUUCUUUUAUAUGGGAAUAAAGUAUUCCACGUGUGGGAUUUUGUAUGUACCAUAUGAAUAAGGAUCGGCUAACUCCGUGCCAGCAGCCGCGGUAAUACGGAGGAUCCGAGCGUUAUCCGGAUUUAUUGGGUUUAAAGGGAGCGUAGGUGGAUUGUUAAGUCAGUUGUGAAAGUUUGCGGCUCAACCGUAAAAUUGCAGUUGAAACUGGCAGUCUUGAGUACAGUAGAGGUGGGCGGAAUUCGUGGUGUAGCGGUGAAAUGCUUAGAUAUCACGAAGAACUCCGAUUGCGAAGGCAGCUCACUAGACUGCAACUGACACUGAUGCUCGAAAGUGUGGGUAUCAAACAGGAUUAGAUACCCUGGUAGUCCACACAGUAAACGAUGAAUACUCGCUGUUUGCGAUAUACAGUAAGCGGCCAAGCGAAAGCAUUAAGUAUUCCACCUGGGGAGUACGCCGGCAACGGUGAAACUCAAAGGAAUUGACGGGGGCCCGCACAAGCGGAGGAACAUGUGGUUUAAUUCGAUGAUACGCGAGGAACCUUACCCGGGCUUAAAUUGCAUUUGAAUAAUCUGGAAACAGGUUAGCCGCAAGGCAAAUGUGAAGGUGCUGCAUGGUUGUCGUCAGCUCGUGCCGUGAGGUGUCGGCUUAAGUGCCAUAACGAGCGCAACCCUUAUCUUUAGUUACUAACAGGUCACGCUGAGGACUCUAGAGAGACUGCCGUCGUAAGAUGUGAGGAAGGUGGGGAUGACGUCAAAUCAGCACGGCCCUUACGUCCGGGGCUACACACGUGUUACAAUGGGGGGUACAGAAGGCAGCUACCUGGCGACAGGAUGCUAAUCCCAAAAACCUCUCUCAGUUCGGAUCGAAGUCUGCAACCCGACUUCGUGAAGCUGGAUUCGCUAGUAAUCGCGCAUCAGCCAUGGCGCGGUGAAUACGUUCCCGGGCCUUGUACACACCGCCCGUCAAGCCAUGAAAGCCGGGGGUACCUGAAGUACGUAACCGCAAGGAGCGUCCUAGGGUAAAACUGGUAAUUGGGG
rnacentral:rRNA from 1 species